CCUACGGGAGGCAGCAGUGAGGAAUAUUGGUCAAUGGCCGGAAGGCUGAACCAGCCAUGCCGCGUGAAGGUCAGUGCCCUAUGGGCGUUAAACUUCUUUUGUGCGGGAGCAAUAAUGGUCACGUGUGGCCAGACGAGAGUACCGUACGAAUAAGCAUCGGCUAACUCCGUGCCAGCAGCCGCGGUAAUACGGGGGAUGCAAGCGUUAUCCGGAUUUAUUGGGUUUAAAGGGUGCGUAGGCUGUGAGGUAAGUCAGCGGUGAAAUGCCCCCGCUCAACGGGGUGAAGUGCCAUUGAUACUGCCUGGCUGGAAUGCGGAAGCGGUGGGAGGAAUGUGUGGUGUAGCGGUGAAAUGCAUAGAUAUCACACAGAACACCGAUUGCGAAGGCAUCUCACGAGUCCGCGAUUGACGCUGAUGCACGAAAGCGUGGGUAUCAAACAGGAUUAGAUACCCCUGUAGUC
rnacentral:rRNA from 1 species